rnacentral:rRNA from 1 species
UACGUUGUCUGCUAUACGCAGGAAGACCCGUG